rnacentral:rRNA from 1 species
GAUGAACGCUGGCGGCGUGCCUAAUACAUGCAAGUCGAGCGGGGUAGCUUGCUACCCAGCGGCGAACGGGUGAGUAACACGUAGGUAACCUGCCUUCGAGUCCGGAAUACCCAGGCGAAAGCUUGGCUAAUGCCGGAUAACAGCGGACCCCGCCUGGGGCCCGCGUGAAAGCCGCCCCAAAGCGGCGCUCCUAGAUGGACCUGCGGCGCAUUAGCUAGUUGGCGGGGCAACGGCCCACCAAGGCGAGGAUGCGUAGCCGACCUGAGAGGGUGAACGGCCACAAUGGGACUGAGACACGGCCCAU